CCUACGGGUGGCAGCAGUGAGGAAUAUUGGUCAAUGGGCGCGAGCCUGAACCAGCCAAGUCGCGUGAGGGAGGACGGCCCUACGGGUUGUAAACCUCUUUUGCCGGGGAGCAACGGGCGCCACGUGUGGCGUCACUGAGAGUACCCGGCGAUAACGCAUCGGAUAACUCCGUGCUAGCAGCCGCGGUAAUACGUAGGAUGCGAGCGUUAUCCGGAUUUAUUGGGUUUAAGGGGUUCGUAGUGGGUUCGUUAAGUCAGUGGUCAAAUUGAGGGGCUCAACCCCUUCCCGCCAUUGAUACUGGCAGUCUUGAGUGGAAUAGAGGUAUGCGGAAUGCGUGGUGUAGCGGUGAAAUGCGUAGAUAUCACGCAGAACCCCGAUUGCGAAGGCAGCAUGCCGGCUUCCUACUGACGCUGAAGCACGAAAGCGUGGGGAUCGAACAGGAUUAGAUACCCUUGUAGUC
rnacentral:rRNA from 1 species